AUUGAACGCUGGCGGCAUGCCUUACACAUGCAAGUCGAACGGCAGCGGGGACUUCGGUCCGCCGGCGAGUGGCGAACGGGUGAGUAAUGUAUCGGAACGUACCAUUGAGUGGGGGAUAACUAUCCGAAAGGAUAGCUAAUACCGCAUAUUCUCUCCGGAGGAAAGCAGGGGACCGCAAGGCCUUGCGCUCAUUGAGCGGCCGAUAUCAGAUUAGCUAGUUGGUGGGGUAAAAGCUCACCAAGGCGACGAUCUGUAGCGGGUCUGAGAGGAUGAUCCGCCACACUGGAACUGAGACACGGUCCAGACUCCUACGGGAGGCAGCAGUGGGGAAUUUUGGACAAUGGGGGCAACCCUGAUCCAGCCAUGCCGCGUGAGUGAAGAAGGCCUUCGGGUUGUAAAGCUCUUUCGGCCGGGAAAAAAUCGCAUGGGCUAAUAUCCUGUGUGGAUGAUGGUACCGGAAUAAGAAGCACCGGCUAACUACGUGCCAGCCGCCGCCGUAACAC
rnacentral:rRNA from 1 species